GUGGAAUUUUUACGAUGGCAACACUGGAAGAAUAGACUGAUGGGCUUAUCCGUUUUAUUUUACCUUCUUAUUUUUGAGUAGAACGCCAUUUUUUAUCGUUUUCUCUGUAGCAGAUAGCAGGGAACGUAAAAAAGUGUAAAAUAUGGCUAAGGAUCCUAUUCAAGCUGUGCAAAGGAAGAGAGAAUGACUUACACGUAUACAAAUGUAAACAUCACGUUUGUCAUUUCGGCCUUCAGAAAGUGAUGGGAUAUCGUUCGACGAGCUGAUGGAAUAUGACAUCACGCAUUCCUAACAUAUGUUGGCUCAAAUGAUCGGAAGCCUUCUUGCAGGGAAUGCUGCCUGGCGUUUCUUUCAAAAUCCCGAGAUAUCAGCUGCUAUUACUAAAGUUGAUAUAAAUUUGAUAAAAACGAUGCAUACAAUACUCGUAGUUGUUUCUAGUGGGCAGGAAAAUAUCUCGUUGAAUGCUAUCUUUGGUGACUUUAACAUUUCACAUCUAUUUCAACCAUUUACCUGUUAUCAGAAGAAGCGCAGGAAGCACGUAGCAAGAUUUUAAGACUUUUAGCGCACAUUUUUCUCACAAAUGCAUGUAGCAGGAAAAAACCAAACAGUUCUGACCCCAGAAGAAAACUACCACUAGAAAAGUGCAGGAUCUAACGGUAGAAGCCUUAGAGAUGAUAGUGAUGGAGAGUGGCAGUAAUAAUGAAGUUGAUGAUGAUGAUUCAGGCGAGGAAAACAAUUGCAGCGAAGAUAAUUAUGAUCAUCGAAUGUGAAAAAGCGGUAUAUAUAUUAAAAGAAAAAUUUGAACCUUAAAUAAACAAUAAUUGUUGAAAAACGA